rnacentral:rRNA from 1 species
AUGGUCAAGCUACAAAGAGCGCAAGGGGAAUGCCUUGGCACUGGGAGCCGAAGAAGGACGCGGCAAACUGCGAAAAGCUAUGGGGAGUCGUAAGCAGGCUUUGAUCCAUAGGUGUCCGAAUGGAGCAAUCCGGCCGGAGUUAUGUCCGGUCACCGUAAAGUGAAUUCAUAGCUUUACGGGGGGAACCGCCUGAACUGAAACAUCUAAGUAGGGCGAGGAAGAGAAAUCAAUUGAGAUUCCGCAAGUAGUGGCGAGCGAACGCGGAAGAGGCCAAACCGGAGGCAGCAAUGCCUUCGGGGUGUGGACAGCCAAAGAGUCUGCGAUCCCGAGCAGAACGGCAUGGAAAGGCCGACGAGACAGUGUGAAAGUCACGUAUGCGAAGGGAAAGCGGAGCGGGCUGUAUCCCGAGUACUGCCGGACACGAGAAAUCCGGUGGGAACGUGGGGGGACCACCCUCCAAGCCUAAAUACUACCCAGUGACCGAUAGUGAAGAGUACUGUGAAGGAAAGGUGAAAAGGACCCCGGAAGGGGAGUGAAAAAGAACCUGAAACCUUGUGCUUACAAGCACCGAGAGCCCGUCAACGGGUGAUCGGGUACCUUUUGUAGAAUGGUCCGGCGAGUGAAUGUAACUGGCAAGGUUAAGUCCUUAAGGGACGGAGCCGCAGGGAAACCAAGUCUGAACAGGGCGCAUGAAGUCAGUUGUAUUCGACCCGAAACCGGGUGACCUACCCAUGUCCAGGUUGAAGUGGGGGUAAAACCCCAUGGAGGACCGAACCGACUCCCGUUGAAAUGGUAGCGGAUGAGGUGUGGGUAGCGGAGAAAUUCCAAUCGAACCCGGAGAUAGCUGGUUCUCUCCGAAAUAGCUUUAGGGCUAGCCUCGUAUCAGAUUACCGGAGGUAAAGCACUGAAUGGUCUAGGGGCCGAAAGGCUACCGAAGCCUAUCAAACUCAGAAUGCCGGAUAAUCGAUAUACGGGAGUCAGACGGUGUGAGAUAAGUUUCAUCGUCAAAAGGGAAACAGCCCAGACCCACAGCUAAGGUCCCCAAACACGGUUAAGUGGCAAAGGAUGUGGGGUUGCACAGACAACCAGGAUGUUGGCUCAGAAGCAGCCAUUCAUUAAAAGAGUGCGUAAUAGCUCACUGGUCGAGUGACCCUGCGCCGAAAAUUCAACGGGGCUAAAAUCGUGUACCGAAGCUUGGGAUGCUCAGUCAUUCUCCAUAACCUCAAUUAGCGAAAGUGAAGAAGGAAUCUGGCGGCGCGCAGCGACGCGAAAUUACUUAAAAGCUGAAAAGGAUUGAGAGCGUGGAGAAUGGCUGAGCAUGGUAGGAGAGCGUUGAAUGAGAGUUGAAGUCGGAGCGGAAGCGCCGGUGGAUUUCAUUCAAGAGAGAAUGCCGGAAUGAGUAGCGAGAAAUAUGUGAGAAUCAUAUUGGCCGAAAGUCUAAGGUUUCUGGAGGAAGGUUCGUCCGCUCCAGGUGAGCCGGGAGCUAAGGUGAGGCCGAAAGGCGUAGCCGAUGCACAUACGGUUGACAUUCCGUAGCCGCAGAAGGAUUUAAGUAAGAUGACACCUGCAAAGGGCAUGACCCGGGCGUUGGUUGACCCGGGCGCAAGGGACCGAAAUUUAGUAGGGAAGCAUGCUUAGAGCAGGGCGAGAAAAGUCUUAUGGGAUAUCCGAUGCGCCCGUACCGCAAACCGACACAGGUAGACAGGAAGAAGAUUCCAAGGCCAACGGGAGAAGGGUAGUUAAGGAACUCGGCAAAUUGACCCCGUAACUUAGGGAUAAGGGGUGCCUCAGAGAUGAGGCCGCAGAGAAUAGGCCCAGGCGACUGUUUAGCAAAAACACAGGUCUCUGCCAAAUCGAAAGAUGACGUAUAGGGGCUGACACCUGCCCGGUGCUGGAAGGUUAAGAGGAGAUGUGCAAGCAUUGAAUUGAAGCCCCAGUAAACGGCGGCCGUAACUAUAACGGUCCUAAGGUAGCGAAAUUCCUUGUCGGGUAAGUUCCGACCCGCACGAAAGGUGUAACGAUCUGGGCACUGUCUCAAUUACCCGCCCGGCGAAAUUGUAGUACCGGUGAAGAUGCCGGUUACCCGCGACAAGACGGAAAGACCCCAUGGAGCUUUACUGCAGUUUAAUAUUGGGUUUCGGUAAUUUAUGUACAGGAUAGGUGGGAGACUUUGAAACUCUGGCGCCAGCUGGAGCGGAGUCGUCCUUGGGAUACCACCCUUAAGUUGCUGAAAUUCUAACCUGCGGCCGUGAAUCCGGCCGGGGGACAUUGUUAGACGGGCAGUUUGACUGGGGCGGUCGCCUCCAAAAGCGUAACGGAGGCGCUCAAAGGUUGGCUCGGCACGGACGGAAACCGUGCGGGAGAGUGUAAACGCAUAAGCCAGCCUGACUGCGAGGAUGACGGUCCGAGCAGAAACGAAAGUUGGAGUUAGUGAUCCGGCGGUAUGAGAGUGGAAUUGCCGUCGCUCAACGGAUAAAAGCUACCCUGGGGAUAACAGGCUGAUCUCCCCCAAGAGUCCACAUCGACGGGGAGGUUUGGCACCUCGAUGUCGGCUCAUCACAUCCUGGGGCUGUAUUCGGUCCCAAGGGUUCGGCUGUUCGCCGAUUAAAGUGGUACGCGAGCUGGGUUCAGAACGUCGUGAGACAGUUCGGUCCCUAUCUGUCGUGGGCGCAGGAUAUUUGAGGAGAGCUGUCCUUAGUACGAGAGGACCGGGAUGGACGCACCUCUGGCGCACCAGUUGUCAUGCCAAUGGCACAGCUGGGCAACUAUGUGCGGAUCGGAUAAACGCUGAAAGCAUCUAAGCGUGAAGCCGACUCCAAGAUUAGAUAUCCCACAGCAUAAGCUGGUAAGGCCCCUUGUAGACUACAAGGUUGAUAGGCUGCGUGUGUAAGCACGGUAACGUGUUCAGCUUGGCAGUACUAAUAGGCCGAGGGCUUGACCAUAUUU